GAGGAUUAAUCUUCUUGUUCCUUACAUAAUUUCUCACUCUGUCCGUCCGCCAUUUCCCUUUUUUGUGUUUUUCUCUGGAUCACAGCGACUCCUCUCUCUUAUUGCCUCGUGAUUCGCACGUGAUCGUCGCUUCCGUCUAACCCUAUCCCCCCCAAGUCAAAACUCCUCUCUUUUACUCCUAACUCACUGCUUAUUUUCAUCCCUUCUUUUCCUUGCUUAUUAAGGUUCUGGAGGCUUCUUGUGCCGAUGAUGAAUUCGCAACAACUUGUGCUCCCCAAGGUCACUGCUAAUGGAUUUGGCCGCAGAAGAGGUGAAAGAGAAGGGGGAACUAGGCUGGAGAAUAAAUUGCCAUCAGGAAAAUCAAACUCUGCUAGAGUGACAAGUACAGGUGCAAUGAGUGGUGGCAAAUUUGGAGUUUAUGAGAGCCCUUCCCACGAUCGGUUAUUAUAUGUGACAACAAGUCUUAUUGGACUUCCUGUGGAUGUCCAGAUGAAAAAUGGAUCAAUAUACUCUGGAAUAUUUCAUGCAACAAGUGAUGAAAAAGAGUUUGGAGUUAUAUUGAAAAUGGCUCGCUUGACGAAAGAUGGUAAUAAUCCACGAGGACAGAAAGCGGAGAUUGUUAGCAAGGCACCUUCAAGUAUUAUUGUUAUACCUGCCAGUGAACUUGUGCAAGUCAUAGCAAAGGAAGUUGCUGUAACUAGGGAUGGAAUGGCAAGUGAGCUACAACAGGAAAAACAGCAUGAAAUUAUGAUAGAUUCAUUCAUUUCACAAUCUCGCCAUGCAGAUGGAGAAAGAGAGCUAGAACCAUGGAUCCCAGAUGAAGAUGAUCCACGUCUCCCUGAAUUGGAAAAUACAUUUAAUGUCCCUUGGAAUAGGAACUGGGAUCAGUUUGAAACAAAUAAAACAUUAUUUGGUGUGAAGACUACUUUCAAUGAGGAACUUUAUACAACAAAACUUCUGAAGGGUCCCCAAAUGAGAGAGUUGGAGAGAGAAGCUAUGAGGAUAGCCAGAGAAAUUGAGGCUGAGGAUACUCAAGAUCUUCAUUUAGCAGAGGAAAGAGGCAUGAACCUUCACGAAAAUUUUGAUAUCGAUGAGGAGACCAGGUUUUCUUCAGUCUACAGGGGUAGUGCCCUUGAUGAUAGUGGAUAUGAAGAAGAUGAGGAUAUAAUGUUGGAUUCAUGCAAUGAUGAAACCUUUGGUGGUUCAUCUGGUUCUGUGAGCCAGAGACCUGCUGAUUUGACCAGUGGGAAAAGAUCUGAAGCAGCUCAGUUGUCUUCUAGCUCUUCACUAGUGGUGAAGCAGGAGGAGGCACAGUCAUCCCACUCUGGUGCCGCUCCACAACACUCAAUUUCUUAUGAUCAUGCAAGACAGAUGGCAUCUGAAAUUCCACAUAAAAGUAUUUCUACUUUGGACAGUGAAACAAGGGUCCAGGAGAAUUUGCUUAGCGAGCAUGGAGCAAAUAAUGAUGUUAAGGAGUUUUUGGAUAAGCAUCUGCUAGCAGAGGAUGCUCAACUAUCACAAUCAGAGGAUUCAGACUCAUUAGAGGGCAACAUAGAUGGUUCUGAUGGAGUGGGACUAUCUGCAAAUGCCUCUUCAUAUGCUCCAUCCUGUGCUCCAUCAAAGAGCAAUGAAAAGACAAGUUCACCUUGUGAACAACCGGAGGUGCCAGCACCUAGUAAAGCACCCAGUGAACCACAAUCUAUAAAUUCUCAUGGAAGACCUGGUAGUUCUGUGUCAUCCAAUUCUGAAUGUGCAGUUUCUGCCUCAGCUUCUAGUGGCCCUGGUUUAUCACCAAGCUCAUCAGUGGGUUCUUUAUCUUCAGAACGAUCAACAUUGAAUCCCCAUGCCAGGGAAUUUAAACUCAAUCCUUACGCAAAGAGUUUCGUCCCAUCUCAAGCGGCUGCUAGGCCCCAAUCCCCUGUCACUGAUAGUCCCUUCUAUCAUCCACCUAAUGUAUCUGCAGUACCACAUAUACCUGGCAUGCCCGUAGGUUUUGGACUUUUAGCAUUUGGUCCAACAUGUUCGUAGUUGUGACUGACUUCUGUAUCUUUUGCUGAUUGGACCUGCUUUUGCUGGGCACCAGCCUGUCAUGUACAAUCCUCAGGUUGCCAUGCAACCACCCCAAGCCUUUUAUCACCUACAUGGACCUCAGUAUGGACAGCAGAUGGUUGUUAGUCAGCCCCGACCACUCUUUUAUAUGCCGACCUACCAGCAGCCUGAAAUGCCAUACAAAGGACGAGAAUUUUAACCGGUUUAUCAGCUGAUUAUAUUCUUGGAGCUCUGUUCUGUGCUGCUUGCCAAGGAUGAAUCUUUCUAGACUUAUUUGAACAACAAUUUUCUGGGAACAAAUUGCAGCCUCUGGCCGCAGAAGUUUACCAAAGAAUUGUGAAUACCAUAUCGCGGAGAGAUUUUCCUUCAUUAUGGGAUAUAAUUCAGAGAACUCUAUAUCCUUCACCCUGUUAAAGCUCUGUUUUUUUUUUUUUUGUGCUGUAAUUGUACUCUUCGUUCUUUUUUUCCCUGUUUUUUUCAUGUCAAAUUAGUUUGGAAUAAUUCAAAAUGGAAAGCAACUGUUGCAUGUACCCUGAUUCACUUCUCAUUAUAAUUUUUUUUUUCUAAAUUAAAAAAUUGUUUUAGUUCCUAGC